UUUUCUGUGAACAGCUUUUCUAAUAGACAUUUAGCUCCAAUUUUCAAGUCAGGCACUUCUUCCGAAAGAAAAUCUGACUCUCAUGGUACUUUAAGAAAGUAAUUUUUUGAUUUUCCCAGCUGUUUCAUAAUCAAUGGGAAAAAAUAAGAAAACGUACUAAAUGUAUCAGUAAAAUAUUACGGCCUUUUUUUCUUGUGAACAAAUUUUCUGCUAGCAAUUUUUUCCAAUCAAGUUUUCACAAUAAUUUGGAAAAAUCAGAAAAAAAAUUAUAUGAAAAACUGACGAAUUUACGGUAAUAGAAGAUUCAGCAAUGGUUAGCAAUGGUAGCAAUGGUUUAUCGUUGCUUACAGAUAUAAAUUAAAUAACUUUAUGUAUCUAUCUACUAAAUAUUAUUGUAAUCGGUCUAUAAUUUUAAAAACUAAAAGUAAAGGACAACGAGCACCCAAUACUCCCGAUAUUUGCGCUACUGUCUACAACAGCAUAUACUAUACCACUGAAUGCAUUGCUAAUAAAAUUCUACAAUUGUAUAAUAUGAUUGUGUAACAAUUGUUUACACUUUACAUUUAAUGAUCAACAACCCCAAAAAUGUAAUCCGACAAUAGAUUAUAGUUCAAAAGAACUGUAUCUCGAAGAAAACAAUAUAAAUGAUGUAUAACUCGAAAACCAGCCAACAAGA